rnacentral:rRNA from 1 species
AGUCGAGGGGCUCAGGAAGAAGCUUGCUUUCUUUGCUGGCGACCGGCGCACGGGUGAGUAACACGUAUCCAACCUGCCCUUUACUCGGGGAUAGCCUUUCGAAAGAAAGAUUAAUACCCGAUAGCAUAAUGAUUCCGCAUGGUUUCAUUAUUAAAGGAUUCCGGUAAAGGAUGGGGAUGCGUUCCAUUAGGUUGUUGGUGAGGUAACGGCUCACCAAGCCUUCGAUGGAUAGGGGUUCUGAGAGGAAGGUCCCCCACAUUGGAACUGAGACACGGUCCAAACUCCUACGGGAGGCAGCAGUGAGGAAUAUUGGUCAAUGGGCGGUAGCCUGAACCAGCCAAGUAGCGUGAAGGAUGAAGGCUCUAUGGGUCGUAAACUUCUUUUAUAUAAGAAUAAAGUGCAGUAUGUAUACUGUUUUGUAUGUAUUAUAUGAAUAAGGAUCGGCUAACUCCGUGCCAGCAGCCGCGGUAAUACGGAGGAUCCGAGCGUUAUCCGGAUUUAUUGGGUUUAAAGGGAGCGUAGGUGGACUGGUAAGUCAGUUGUGAAAGUUUGCGGCUCAACCGUAAAAUUGCAGUUGAUACUGUCAGUCUUGAGUACAGUAGAGGUGGGCGGAAUUCGUGGUGUAGCGGUGAAAUGCUUAGAUAUCACGAAGAACUCCGAUUGCGAAGGCAGCUCACUGGACUGCAACUGACACUGAUGCUCGAAAGUGUGGGUAUCAAACAGGAUUAGAUACCCUGGUAGUCCACACAGUAAACGAUGAAUACUCGCUGUUUGCGAUAUACAGUAAGCGGCCAAGCGAAAGCAUUAAGUAUUCCACCUGGGGAGUACGCCGGCAACGGUGAAACUCAAAGGAAUUGACGGGGGCCCGCACAAGCGGAGGAACAUGUGGUUUAAUUCGAUGAUACGCGAGGAACCUUACCCGGGCUUAAAUUGCAGUGGAAUGAUGUGGAAACAUGUCAGUGAGCAAUCACCGCUGUGAAGGUGCUGCAUGGUUGUCGUCAGCUCGUGCCGUGAGGUGUCGGCUUAAGUGCCAUAACGAGCGCAACCCUUAUCUUCAGUUACUAACAGGUCAUGCUGAGGACUCUGGAGAGACUGCCGUCGUAAGAUGUGAGGAAGGUGGGGAUGACGUCAAAUCAGCACGGCCCUUACGUCCGGGGCUACACACGUGUUACAAUGGGGGGUACAGAAGGCAGCUAGCGGGUGACCGUAUGCUAAUCCCAAAAUCCUCUCUCAGUUCGGAUCGAAGUCUGCAACCCGACUUCGUGAAGCUGGAUUCGCUAGUAAUCGCGCAUCAGCCACGGCGCGGUGAAUACGUUCCCGGGCCUUGUACACACCGCCCGUCAAGCCAUGGGAGCCGGGGGUACCUGAAGUACGUAACCGCAAG